GACGAACGCUGGCGGCGUGCUUAACACAUGCAAGUCGAACGGAAAGGCCCUGCUUUUGUGGGGUGCUCGAGUGGCGAACGGGCGAGUAACACGUGAGUAACCUGCCCUUGACUUUGGGAUAACUUCAGGAAACUGGGGCUAAUACCGGAUAGGAGCUCCUGCUGCAUGGUGGGGGUUGGAAAGUUUCGGCGGUUGGGGAUGGACUCGCGGCUUAUCAGCUUGUUGGUGGGGUAGUGGCUUACCAAGGCUUUGACGGGUAGCCGGCCUGAGAGGGUGACCGGCCACAUUGGGACUGAGAUACGGCCCAGACUCCUACGGGAGGCAGCAGUGGGGAAUAUUGCACAAUGGGCGGAAGCCUGAUGCAGCAACGCCGCGUGCGGGAUGACGGCCUUCGGGUUGUAAACCGCUUUCGCCUGUGACGAAGCGUGAGUGACAGUAAUGGGUAAAGAAGCACCGGCUAACUACGUG
rnacentral:rRNA from 1 species